rnacentral:rRNA from 1 species
UACGUAGGGUGCGAGCGUUAAUCGGAAUUACUGGGCGUAAAGCGUGCGCAGGCGGUGAUGUAAGACAGAUGUGAAAUCCCCGGGCUCAACCUGGGAACUGCAUUUGUGACUGCAUCGCUGGAGUGCGGCAGAGGGGGAUGGAAUUCCGCGUGUAGCAGUGAAAUGCGUAGAUAUGCGGAGGAACACCGAUGGCGAAGGCACUCUACUGGGCCACUACUGACACUGAGAGACGAAAGCUAGGGGAGCAAAUGGG